rnacentral:rRNA from 1 species
UACGUAGGGUGCAAGCGUUAAUCGGAAUUACUGGGCGUAAAGCGUGCGCAGGCGGUUCGGAAAGAGAGGUGUGAAAUUCCAGGGCUUAACCUUGGAACUGCACUUCUAACUACCGGGCUAGAGUACGUCAGAGGGGGGUAGAAUUCCACGUGUAGCAGUGAAAUGCGUAGAGAUGUGGAGGAAUACCGAUGGCGAAGGCAGCCCCCUGGGAUGAUACUGACGCUCAUGCACGAAAGCGUGGGGAGCAAACAGG